rnacentral:rRNA from 1 species
GAUGAACGCUGGCGGCGUGCCUAAUACAUGCAAGUCGAGCGAACAGACGAGGAUCUUGCUCCUCCGACUUUAGCGGCGGACGGGUGAUUAAUACGUGGAUAACCUACCUAUAAGACUGGGAUAACUUCGCGAAACCGGAGCUAAUACCGGAUAAUAUAUUGAACCUCAUGGUUCAAUAGUGAAAUACGGUUUUUCUGUCACUUAUAGAUGGAUCCGCGCCGCAUGAGUUAGUUGGUGAGGUAACGGCUUACCAAGGCAACGAUGCGGAGCCGUCCUGAGAGGGAGAACGACCACCCUGGAACUGAGACACGGCCCAGACUCCGACGGGAGGACGCAGUAGGGAAUCUUCCGCAAGGGGCGAAUGCCUGACGGAGCAACGCCGGGUGAGUGAUGAAGGUGUUCGGAUCGUAAAACUCUGUUAUUAGGGAAGAACAAAUGUUUAAGUACCUAUGCACGUCUUGACGGUACCUAAUCAGGAAGCCACGGCUAACUACGUG